ACUAACUUGAUAUAUGUAAAACCUAAUCAAGAUAUUUUGUUACAAUUAUUGCAAAAUAAAGAAUUUACCGAUUGAGAUUAAUAGUUAAGAGUAUUGAAGAGAAAUAUAAGAUUUUUGGGGAAGCCCUGAAUUUGGGGAGGGUUGAGAUGAAGAAAAAGUGACCUAGAGGAAAGAUAUUCAUGAGUGGUCUGAAGGUAUUAACCACUGAAUGAAUAUGAAGUCGCUUAUGUUUUCGAGAUCUACGGUCUCAGCCUUCUUCGCGGUGUCGCUAGGGUUCGUUAUUGACACCACCUUUAGAUUCAAGGUUUUCAUCGAUGAUGACGGCAGAGAAGAAGGAGGAGGAGAAAAAGAUUCAUGAAACUCAACUAGAUGAUUCAGAUGUUGCAGCAUGCUAUAACAUUAUUUGGAUCUUUUGGCAUAAUGUGCAUCAACAUCUCAUUUGCUUAUGGCCCUUGUGUCUCCUUUUUCCAUUGUAACAAUUUCAUGUGCACAUAUUUAAAAUUAGGCCGGGGAAAAAGAGUCUCCCUUUUUUUAGGAAAGCAACCUCAUUCUUGUCUUAGGAUCAGGUGGAAUGGUGGGAGAGGAUGUUACUUUUUCGUGUUCAAAGACAAGGCCAAAGUUUGAAUUAUGGAUGGUUCAUAAGAAAUUUCUUGUGCUUUUGUUUUUCUCACCAUUUCGACGGAUUAUGUUUAAAGAAGAGAAAAAUUUUGUAAAGAGUAGAAUGAGUUAAGG
rnacentral:lncRNA from 1 species